UAUUUUUAUUUGUAAAUGAUAAUGAUUUCUAUUCAUCGCGCAGUUAUUAGUUAAUUUCUUUUUAUUUGGGGAUUCCUAAUCCGAUUUUCUUUUCAAGAAGGUGGCUCACACCUGGCCAGGUGAGAUCGGCAGAAGGUCGUUGUGAAGACUUAUAUUCCAGAAUAUUCCACCGCACUGCAGCACCUAGAGGUGGCGCUGUGUACGCUCACGGGUAGCGGCGGUGUCGCGACUAGCGCAACAGAAAAUUCCAUGACGGAGCGCAGACCCCGUUCGCAUCUCUUCUGAACUGCGAAACGCGAGUGCGUAGGACCGCAGGCUGUGUGCACGGCUCUUUUAAAGAGCAUGGAGCGGGAGGAAGAAUUUGCAGGUGGGGUCUCCAGGUGCAGGCGAGGUUUCUCCCGGAGCACGACAGCGUAGGAGCACACUUUCAGAACUGGAUGUGGAUGUUCAGCCCCCCUCUUAAAAGGCAAAGUUUAAUCUUAGCUGGAAUAUUCCACCGGAAAUGACGCCCUGGGCUUCUAGGAUUUUCUAUACUGGAGCUGGCUGGUUAUAAAGAUGAUCAAUUUUCCUCACAAUCAAUUGAGGAAAUACUUUUUUUUUUGAAGUACUGUAGUACUUUGGGCUGCACCUUCACAAAUGCUUACUGAAAGUCUGUAAAAGAAACGUUGAAAAAAUAGCAACCAUUAAUAUUAUAACUGAUAAUAAAGUAUUAUAUUACAGUA